rnacentral:rRNA from 1 species
GACGUAGGGCGCGAGCGUUGUCCGGAUUUAUUGGGCGUAAAGAGCUCGUAGGCGGCUUGUUGCGUCGACCGUGAAAACCCGCGGCUUAACUGUGGGCUUGCAGUGGAUACGGGCAGACUAGAGGUAGGUAGGGGAGAAUGGAAUUCCCGGUGUAGCGGUGAAAUGCGCAGAUAUCGGGAGGAACACCGGUGGCGAAGGCGGUUCUCUGGGCCUUACCUGACACUGAGGAGCGAAAGCGUGGGGGAGCAGA